GUUGCAGGCAGAGAGAAUGGAAGAUGAA
rnacentral:piRNA from 1 species